rnacentral:rRNA from 1 species
AUACGUAGGUGGCAAGCGUUGUCCGGAAUUAUUGGGCGUAAAGCGCGCGCAGGCGGUCCUUUAAGUCUGAUGUGAAAGCCCACGGCUCAACCGUGGAGGGGCAUUGGAAACUGGGGGACUUGAGUGCAGAAGAGGAAAGUGGAAUUCCAAGUGUAGCGGUGAAAUGCGUAGAGAUUUGGAGGAACACCAGUGGCGAAGGCGACUUUCUGGUCUGUAACUGACGCUGAGGCGCGAAAGCGUGGGGAGCAAACAGGAUUAGAUACCCUGGUAGUCCACGUCGUAAACGAUGAGUGCUAAGUGUUAGGGGGUUUCCGCCCCUUAGUGCUGCAGCUAACGCAUUAAGCACUCCGCCUGGGGAGUACGGUCGCAAGACUGAAACUCAAAGGAAUUGACGGGG